rnacentral:rRNA from 1 species
UAGUCCACGCCGUAAACGAUGAGAACUAGUUCUUGGAGGUAUUGACCCCUUCAGGGACGUAGCUAACGCGUUAAGUUCUCCGCCUGGGGAGUACGGUCGCAAGACUAAAACUCAAAGGAAUUGACGGGGGCCCGCACAAGCGGUGGAUUAUGUGGUUUAAUUCGAAGCAACGCGAAGAACCUUACCUAGGCUUGAACUCCUGAGAAUCUCGGGUAAUUCCGAGAGUGUCCGCAAGGAAAUUCAGUGAGAGGUGCUGCAUGGCUGUCGUCAGCUCGUGUUGUGAAAUGUUGGGUUAAGUCUCGCAACGAGCGCAACCCCUAUCUUUAGUUGCCAGCAUUAAGUUGGGCACUCUAGAGAGACUGCCUGGGCAACCAGGAGGAAGGGGGGAUGACGUCAAGUCCUCAUGGCCUUUAUGCCUAGGGCUACACACGUGCUACAAUGGUGACUACAACGGGUUGCGAAAUUGUGAAAUGGAGCUAAUCUCAAAAAAGUCAAUCCCAGUUCGGAUUGAAGUCUGAAACUCGG